UCUUUUUUGUUCCCGUUUUUGUUUCAAUAUUGCUAUGUAGCAAUAUCUCUAUGUUCAGAGCCUCUGUCUACGGUUUUGACCAUAAGGUUUGAUAUCAUUGAAUAAUGAUCCUUUUAUCACGAGCGAUUAAUGAAUCUUUGAUGGGCAAUAAGUGGAUCAUCACGAGUGAUUUAUGGAAGUCAUAAUGUUCAAGGAAACGGAUAGAUUAUGAUCACUUUAUGGAAAACUGAGAUAAGGGAACGUUCAAACGAAUGCAAAUGGUCUACUUUUCAUAAUUAUUGUCAUCAUAACCUCCAUACCUUUGGAGUAACCGUUCUCUUGAGAUAAUCUACUGAAAUCUGUUCAAUAGGGCUUUGAGAAAGCUCGACAUCUCGCCAAAAUCGAUCCUAAAACAAUCAAAAUAGCUUUUAACAGACUAAUCGUAAAAGAUGAACAGACUGAUUUCGCUACUGUAUAUUUCGUAUAGGUUUAAAAUGUAUCCAUGGCAAUAUUGUUUUCGUUCGAAAUAUUUUCCCGAUAUUGUUCUUGUCUCAGCAUGGUAUAUUCACGUCUCAUUAUCAUCAAUUUUCACUCACUAUAAAGAGAUAUAGAUAAACUAUACUCUUGGAGAAUAGUUUAUCUAUGUUGAAACAGAUGUUUCCAUUUUCAUCGGUAUAUUUCUCAUCCACAUGAAGGAAAAAAUAAUCAACGAAUCGCCAUAAAUAAUUUCAAAUUAUCAGUGCAUUUUAUUAUAAAAAAAUUUCACAGCGUUUAAGUUUUUACAAUGCAAGUUGUUGUCACAAUAUAAUCUUUUCCUUUGAUAAAAGAUAAUUUCAUUCUUACUGAUAUUAUCGUAGGAGGAAAGAGAAAUUUUCAUGCUGUCAAUUAAUAAAUUACACAAACCAUGAAGCCAUGAAAAAAUUCAACGAAAGAUCAUAAAUAAGUGAAAUGCCUCACAACUGUUUUAAACCCCUUGUGUGACAAAUUAAUACGAGUCUUCAACUUGGAAUUACAACAAGAAAUAAAGGAAAGUUUUUUUGUAAAUAUGCCUCUCUUAUGACGCAAGAAAAUGUUAUACGGCGUGUCCCAAAUUUAAGAUAUGACGUCAUGGAUAUUAUUUUUAAAUGGCAAUACUAAUUUUUAUGUCUAUUUUUGAAGGUAUAUCAAGUUAUCUUAUAUCAGAAUUUUAUGACAUUUCUGUAUAUCAUUUUCCAACAUAAAAAAGGGCAAUAACAAAUACUAAUCGUCCUGUCGAAGCAUAUUCACAACCAAAACUCGCUUUGACUUAUUGAGUUUAUUCGCACUGUAUGUUUAUUCUCAAUUUUUAUACAACAUGUCGACAGUUGGGUCUGACAUGAUUUUCACUUUUUAUAACUGGCCUAGCAGUUUAUUAAAUACAAACAUUCGUUCGUAUAUGAAAAAAAAAUCUCGAAAAUAAUUCGAAUAAAAAACAGUGACAACGACAUACAAUUUCUUAUCUAUGUGACGCAAUUGCUCAAGAGGCACGUUUUUUUCUAUCGUUGUACAUAUUUUUUUAUGAUCGUACAAGAUGUGGCCUUGACAAUGGCUACAGUGAGAAUAUACACGUGUUUAGCAUACAUGACUUAGAAGCAUUUUGUGCUUGGUUUAUCUUCUUAAUUCAGCCCUUAAAAGAUAUAUAAGGGAAUGGAUUUUGUUCCAAAGUUCGCUUUUUUCACCCCUACACUAAUUUUCAUCACAAUUCAUUUUAUUCCAUGAAUUAUCACUUACCAUGUGUAGACAUUAUCCAGGAGCUUUCAAUGAAUACAUAUUUUUGCCACCAAAUUUUGGUGAUCUGUUUUUUACUAUUGUAACCAGUACCUGAUGACGUAAAUAUAUAGUUAGUUCAUUCAAGUAAGAUAUUAAUUCUGUACAGUAAUCUAUAUGGUGUAUGUGAGAUUGUAUCGAAGAAAAAACUUAUGCAUGAAAAAAAUAAUUAUUGUUGACAAUGUUUGAUGUUGAAAAAAAUGUUAACUGUUCACAAUUCAACGUUACCAUAAUAUAUUUAUUUAUAAUACUUAUAUGUAUACCCAAAGACUACAAUGCUCUGUUGUUGAAAAAAAAAACAUUGAAUUAAAGUACAAACAUUUUUUAUAGUUCAACAAUCAAGUGAACAGAGAGAACUUCUGAGCAUAAACUGAAUGUUGAAAUUUUCCUCCAAUUCUUGCAGCUUGAAAAAUAGAACAAAAUGAUACUAGCUUCGAUCUCUGAUGCUGAUCUUGAUGGGAGUAAAAUUCAUAUUACAUUUUUAUAGUGAAACAAUUUCAAGACGUGAAAUAAUAACAAUAGUUCCGAUAAUUUUCUAUUUGCUCGGGAGUUCUCGUAAAUCUAAUGAUACAGCAGUCGUUUCUCAUAAGCCUUAUGCCUUAACAUAACAUUGUACAAAAUAUGGUUUUUCCAAAAUUGUUGUAAAUAUUGUGUUUUUGGAAAAACACUCCGUAUUGCUCAUUCAUAGGUUACUUAUUCCUUUUUGAAGUAGUGUUCGUCACAUUUUAAUCAAAUGUUCUGGGACUAAAUUGAAAAUGCUUGGUUUUCAACAAAUAAUUUGAACUUUUUCAGAUUGCUUCUCAUGAUUCAGAAAAUGAAAGUCGGUUCAUCACUUUUUUGUGUAGUACAUAUUCUCGGUUUUCGUGUAUUUUUCAAGGAAUACCUGUGGAUUAGUCCAAAAAAUAAUGAAAUUUCUUACAAUAUCUUUCAAUUACCUGAGAAGUUUCGAGAAUAUUCAAUAAAUUAUUUGAACUAUAAUUUUCAUUUUCCAAUGGACGAGUUCAGAAACGCUUACCAGCUUUAUAAAUAUGUAUUUGAAAAAACUAAAAAAUUAUGUUUAUUCUUUUUGGUUGCCUGAAUCAUUUCACAAUCUUUGGAAUUGUGCCGGCUUGAAAAAUGAAGUGAUAUGAUAAAAAAACUUAUUUUUAUUCCGUUUUCAAUUUAAGUAGUCGAUAGUUAAGUAGUUUCAGUCGAUUCUACGUAAAAAAGGAAGGGAUCACUUAAAUCAACCCUAUACUUAAAAGAGAAACCGAUUUAUCAGUGAAAAACUUGGAAAAAAAAAGGGAAAACUUUUCAUUUUGUGUAUAUGGUUCAUCAAGUUAACCAUCUCCAUUUUCCAUGUAGGAUCGACUGAAAUAUAUAGGUUGCUAUUUGAAAAUCUUGGGGAAAACGGUCUUGAUCAACUUUAUGAUUUUCUCAAAAACACCCUAUACAUUUCUUUUACAAACACUUAAAAGUGUUGCAAUACUACAGAAUGGCAGAGUUGAAAAAACUGCCAAAUAAUGUCGAAUCUUUUUUUACGUUUCCACUGAGACUUCAAAAGGUUGUCAAGAGUUUCUGAACUCAUCAUUCUAAUUAAUUGAAUCAGGAAAUACUCAUUAACGAUUAGCUGUUUUCAUGAAGCACACACUAAUUUACUUAAGUCUUCGUUCAGGGUUGUCCUCUAACUUCAACUACCUCAGUUUAACAUUCCUCUAUAUUUACAUUUUCUGAAUAUUCCUAGUUACCUUUUGUAUAAUACAUUCCAGCUUUUUUAACCUCAAACACCUCAUGCAGUUUGUACUUUCUAUUUUAUUAAUUCACUGUAUUUUAUAUUUAUAUAUUUUUAUAGUUGCAAGCAAACUUCUGGGAUGAAAGUGAAUAAUAAAUUACCUCAGCUCAUUAUAUCCUUGUAAACGAUUGCAAUAGAUCUUCACCAACAUAUGUAUAAAAGAGAUUAAUAGAUUAUCGAUUUAUUUUUAUUUUUCUUUUAAAAAUUUUAUUACACUUUCCUCUUCGAUGGUUCAAGUUAACGAUGAUUAAUUGAUAAUUUUAGUUUAUGGUUCAUUGAAUUUGUUCAUGACUAAAAGUUGAAUCUGCUCUGAUUUAUGUUAAUAUAUAUAUACGGUCUAUUAGUAUAUGUGUACAUUUUGUAGAUGACUUUUUAUUAUGCACUUGGUAGUUAACUGUGUAUGUAUUCUAUGUAUCUUAGGAAUUUUUAAUAUCUACCUCAUUAUAUUUAAAUUUUUGGAUGUUAGGUUUUACAUGUAGAUUUUAUUUUUUAAGUAAAUUAUUAUUUUCGAUCUUUUUAUUCAAGCAUGUCUCAGGGCACCACCAGUUUCCAUAAAAAACUUUUUUUAUUUUUAAUCUGUUGAAGAAAUACCAUCAAAUACAGGAAUUGAUAUCCCAAUACAAAUAUAGCACUUAUGGUAGCUUAAAAUGGAAACGAUUUCCUUUGGUGUUUUCUGGUGAAAGAUUUUAAAUUUAAUUUCAGCUCUAAAGAUGUUUCAUUCUUGAACUGCAAAUCAUUUUGAAACUACUUCCUAAUAAACGAAAAGUCUGAUUGAGGAGGCUGCUAGUUUUAUUUUGUAGCCGACAGGUAAAAGAAAUAGUCUCGUUUGAUGUUCGAUAUUCUGAAAUUAUUUGAUAUUCGGAUGUUGCUUCUGAAGCUUCUUUCAUCCACCAAGAGCUAUACCAUGAGAGAAGAGUUCAACAAUUUUUAAUAAACAUAUAAUUGCACUUAUAUUAAUGUUAAUGAAUUCCACCUGUGUGGUCAACCUAGCCACUAGCGCUUCAAUUCCGGUUCUAAUGAAAACGAAACAGAUGUCUAUAAAAUCGAAUGUGAUAACAGAUUUAAUUUUUUAUCAAUAAAUAAAAGUCGCACAGGUGUAAUUCUGAAGCAAUACUUUAGUUUCAAAGCUGUAGAGUACGUAUAGUAUGUUAUAUAUUUAAGCGAAUUGUGUAAACGUGGUAAUAAUAUAUAUUUUUGUACGCUUGGAUGAUUAUGAUAUUAAAACAAAUUCAAUACAAA